rnacentral:tRNA from 1 species
GACAAGGUGCCUGAGUGUUUAAGGUGAUAGACUUCUAAUCUAUUGUGCUCUCUUCAUGUGUGUUCAAAUUCCACCUUCAUUG